rnacentral:rRNA from 1 species
CCCUUAGAUGUUCUGGGCCGCACACGCGCUACACUGAAGGAGGCAGCGUGUACUCCUGGAUCGAAAGAUUUGGGUAACCCGCGAAUCUCCUUCGUGCUAGGGAUUGAGGUUUGCAAUUAUCCUUCAUGAACGAGGAAUUCCCAGUAAGUGCAAGUCAUAAGCUUGCGCUGACUACGUCCCUGCCCUUUGUACACACCGCCCGUCGCUACUACCGAUUGAAUGAGUUAGUGAGGACUUCGGACUGGGACCGAUGCGGCUUUCGGGCUGCGUCGGUAUUCUGGAAAGAUGUCCAAACUGUAUCAUUUAGAGGAAGUAAAANUCGUANCA